CUACGGGCUGCAGCAGUGGGGAAUAUUGCACGAUGGGCGCAAGCCUGAUGCAGCCAUGCCGCGUGUAUGAAGAAGGCCUUCGGGUUGUAAAGUACUUUCAGCGGGGAGGAAGGGAGUAAAGUUAAUACCUUUGCUCAUUGACGUUACCCGCAGAAGAAGCACCGGCUAACUCCGUGCCAGCAGCCGCGGUAAUACGGAGGGUGCAAGCGUUAAUCGGAAUUACUGGGCGUAAAGCGCACGCAGGCGGUUUUUUAAGUCAGAUGGUGAAAUCCCCGGGCUCAACCUGGGAACUGCAUCUGAUACUGGCAAGCUUGAGUCUCGUAGAGGGGGGUAGAAUUCCAGGUGUAGCGGUGAAAUGCGUAGAGAUCUGGAGGAAUACCGGUGGCGAAGGCGGCCCCCUGGACGAAGACUGACGCUCAGGUGCGAAAGCGUGGGGAGCAAACAGGAUUAGAUACCCCAGUAGUC
rnacentral:rRNA from 1 species